rnacentral:rRNA from 1 species
ACAACGCUGGCGGCGUGCUUAACACAUGCAAGUCGAGUGCGCAGUUUUCUGUAGCAAUACAGGAGGCGGGCGCACGGCGCACGGGUGCGUAACACGUGGGCAAUCUGCCCUCGGAUGGGGGAUAACCCCGCGAAAGCGGGGCUAAUACCGCAUGACAUUCCGGAGACUCCGGUCUCUGGAUUCAAAGGCCGCAAGGCCGUCUGAGGAGGAGCCCGCGCCCGAUUAGCUAGUUGGCGAGGUCACGGCUCACCAAGGCAAUGAUCGGUAGCCGGUCUGAGAGGAUGGCCGGCCACACUGGAACUGAGACACGGUCCAGACUCCUACGGGAGGCAGCAGUGGGGAAUAUUGCGCAAUGGGCGAAAGCCUGACGCAGCGACGCCGCGUGGGGGAUGAAGCUUCUCGGAGUGUAAACCCCUUUCGAUCCGGACGAAUGACCCGCAAGGGUUUGACGGUACGGGUAUAAGAAGCCCCGGCUAACUACGUGCCAGCAGCCGCGGUAAUACGUANGGGGCCAGCGUUGCUCGGAAUUACUGGGCGUAAAGGGUUCGUAGGCGGUGCGGCAAGUCGGGAGUGAAAUCUCUGGGCUUACUCAGAGGCUGCUUUCGAAACUGCCGUGCUCCAAUGCGGGAAAAGGCGAAUUGGAAUUGCANGUGUUA